GGCUGGAUCAUUAUCGAGCAAAAACAAACAAGGUAUUGAAUGCUUCGGCGUUCAACUUUGUGGUGGCAAACGAUUAAUGUGCGGUACGUUUGACUGACGUAUGCCUGCACGCCGCCAAACCCAACGGCAUUCGGUUGGUGUCUAACUGGUUCGGAGCAGAUGUUGUACUGUAGUCCGUGUCUGUGAAGAAGAGCCAGGAUAGCGUAUACGUCCUCCUAGUUGAGGGUUGCGGAUGCGUAGACUUAAUGAGCCCCAUGCCUCGGGGAAGCCAACCACCCAUUUUUUUCAACGAUAUUUUCAAAUAAUAAGACAAAUACCAGUCUUACCGGUGGAUCACUCGGUUCGUGGAUCGAUGAAGAACGCAGCAAACUGCGAUAAGUAGCGUGAAUUGCAGACGCUUUGAACGUUAAACUUUCGAACGCACAUUGCGCCGUAGGAGUCCUACCCUACGGCACAUCUGGUUGAGGGUCGUGAUCUAAAACAGCAGGACUAUCGCUGUAUGAGAAGUAGCUGGUGAAUCACGAGUCCGACCCACCCGUACUCGGGUUGGACGUGUUUUGCCAUAAUGCUAUAGAGGACGUACCCGUCGAUAUCCGGUCAAACGGAUAGACGGCGCGGACGCCUACCACACGGAUGAUCUAUUAGCCGUAGCAAUAGGUUCCGGUCAUCGGGUCUAGUUCUUAGAGACUUGGUGGCGACGGGGACAGCGGCUAGUAUGCUUCAUACGUGCCUGGUGCAUGAGAGUUUUCGCUCUCCCGACCUCAACUCAGGUGUGAUUACCCGCUGAACUUAAGCAUAUCAGUAAGCGGAGGAAAAGAAACUAACGAGGAUUCCCUCAGUAACGGCGAGUGAACGGGGAAGAGCCCAGCGCUAAAUCCUGCUGCUCUAACGGGUAGCGGGAGGUGUAGCGUAUAGUAGGCGAUUUCCUUGAUGGUUGUCGACUUAAGUUCUCCUUGACUGGGGUUCCAUAGAAGGUGAAAGGCCUGUUCAGUCGAUGACCGUCUUGGAUUCCGCACUACUUGGAGUCGGGUUGUUUGGGAACGCAGCCCAAAUUUGGUGAUAAACUUCAUCUAAGGCUAAAUACGGCCACGAAACCGAUAGCAAACAAGUACCGUGAGGGAAAGUUGAAAAGUACUUUGAAGAGAGAGUUCAAGAGGACGUGAAACCGGUAGGAUGGAAACGGAUAGAGCCAACGAACAAGCCCGUAUUCAGCUAGUCGACUGCGUGCGGCAUGGCUGGGCCCUAGAUAUAGGGACUGGUCGUGUGCGGUAUGCGGUUGGCUAGUGCAUUUGCGGGUGAUGUGCGCUGAGGCGUGUGGUGGAGCGCUGCAAAGUGCCGGGAGAGGCCUCGUCUUCGGACUUGGAACCUACCGGCGCGGAGUAGUGUUUCUGCUGCACGUAGCCUUGGACUAGGGCAACGCGGUGUCUUGCUGCUGGGCUAGCUGCUUGGCCGGUCGCAUGCGACUAGGUCUCGUUGGUUGGUCUUAGUGGUAGGGCACUGACCUGGUCUUCCCUCGGUGUAAAAGUUGGUCAUCUCUCCGACCCGUCUUGAAACACGGACCAAGGAGUCUAGCGUAUACGCGAGUCAUUGGGUGGAAAACCCAUAGGCGUAAUGAAAGUGAAGGUCUCUUUCUGAGGCUGAUAUGCGAUCCGUUGCACUACGGUGUAUGCGGAGCAGCAUAGCCCCAUCUCGACUGCUUGCAGUGGGGUGGAGGUAGAGCGUAUUCGCUGGUACCCGAAAGAUGGUGAACUAUGCCUGAGCAGAAUGAAGCCAGAGGAAACUCUGGUGGAGGUCCGAAGCGCUUCUGACGUGCAAAUCGAUCGUCUGACUUGGGUAUAGGGGCGAAAGACUAAUCGAACCAUCUAGUAGCUGGUUCCCUC
rnacentral:misc_RNA from 1 species